rnacentral:rRNA from 1 species
AUGGCACGCUGCAUGCUCAAGGCAAAGCAAGUGCCAAGCACGUAUUGGGGGGAGGCCGUGCUCACGGACGUCUUCAUCCUCAACCGCUCCUUCACAAGGAGCGUCAAUGGAAAGACGCCUUAUGAGGCGUGGUACGGAAGGAAGCCCGAUGUACGCUUCCUCCGCACCUUUGGCUGUGUCGGGCAUGUCAAGAUGGCACGCCCACAGCUGAAGAAGCUCGACGACAGGAGCACCCCAAUGGUGUUCAUGGGCUACGAGACGGGCUCUAAGGAGUACAAGAUGUAUGACCUCAUCUCAAAGCGUGUGCAUGUCUCUCGCGACGUCAUCUUCGACGAAGACGCGCGAUGGACUUGGGAGGCGUCGGGGGAGGCCCCGGCAAGCAGCUCCUUUACCGUGGAGUACCCGAUGUACUCUACGACCCCGGGAAGCAAAACCCCGGGAAGUGCCACUCCUGGAAGCUCGGGAGGUGUGGAUCCGGGAACAACAACCCCGAGAACACCGUCCCCGGGUAUGGUGUCGUCGGACACCAUAACGUCAAGCAAGAUGGGUCCCGGGAGGCAGUUCGCAACCCCGCCAACGGCGAUGUCGGAGCUGUUCGACGCCGAUGACAGCGUUGGCGCCCCCCACAGGUUUCGGCGCAUGGGGGAUCUCCUCGGUGAGGCUGCGGCAACACCGCAAUAG